AGACUAGAGAAGGGAUCAUCACAUUUCACUGAGAGAAGAAUUUAACGCGAAUAAAUUAUGAUUCCCCCACAAAAACACCAUCUCUAACUUAGCCUGGAUUCUUAGUAAUGACUGCUAGGGCUCAGAGUCUUGAGAUACUACACUAAACUCUCGACAUAGCGAAAUUUGUAUCCUCAACGCCAAAUUUAAACCUAGAUACACAAUAUUCCGCUAAAAUGCAUCAAAUUGGUGACCAAAUUCGUGCGAUCAAAGGA